rnacentral:rRNA from 1 species
UACGUAGGGGGCAAGCGUUGUCCGGAUUUAUUGGGCGUAAAGAGCGUGUAGGCGGCCUGGAAGGUCAGCUGUGAAAACUCGAGGCUCAACCUCGAGACGUCGGUUGAAACCAUCUGGCUAGAGUCCGGAAGAGGAGUGUGGAAUUCCCGGUGUAGCGGUGAAAUGCGCAGAUAUCGGGAAGAACACCCGUGGCGAAGGCGGCACUCUGGGACGGUACUGACGCUGAGACGCGAAAGCGUGGGGAGCGAACAGG